CCAGCACGCGACUGACGCUCAUGCACGAAAGCGUGGGUAUCGAACAGGAUUAGAUACCCUGGUAGUCCACGCGGUAAACGAUGAUAACUAGUUAUUCGUCCCGAUUGAGGGGUGAGUGACCGAGCGAAAGCGUUAAGUUAUCCACCUGGGGAGUACGCCGGCAACGGUGAAACUCAAAGGAAUUGACGGGGGCCCGCACAAGCGGAGGAACAUGUGGUUUAAUUCGAUGAUACGCGAGGAACCUUACCCGGGCUCAAACGCAUGGCGCUAGACCCUGAAAGGGGUUGUUCUUCGGACGUCAUGCGAGGUGCUGCAUGGUUGUCGUCAGCUCGUGCCGUGAGGUGUCGGCUUAAGUGCCAUAACGAGCGCAACCCCCAUCUUCAGUUGCCCCCGGGUGAAGCCGGGCACUCUGGAGAGACUGCCGGCGCAAGCUGUGAGGAAGGCGGGGAUGACGUCAAAUCAGCACGGCCCUUACGUCCGGGGCGACACACGUGUUACAAUGGCGGGGCACAGCGGGAAGCCAGGCGGCGACGCCGAGCUGAUCCCGAAAACCCGUCUCAGUUCGGAUCGGAGUCUGCAACCCGACUCCGUGAAGCUGGA
rnacentral:rRNA from 1 species